GCGCGUGCGCACACACACACACGCAUACACACACGCGCGCGCGCGCGAGAGCGCAUACAUUACACAGACUCACACAUGCGCAUGCACACACACACGCACACACGCAUAUGCACGCAAACAAACACACACAUACACACUCGCGCUUGCACACACACACGCACACACACACCUCCCUUAAACCCUCACCAAUUUAUGCAAACCCCCUCCUGCUCCUUUCACCCAUGAUGAGGUCUGAACUCUGGGCUGGGAAUGGAAGAGCAUUCUAAAGGACACACAUACGAGUUCACACACACAUAUUCACAUGCACAAACACAGCUACACACAAAAGCCCCUGUACAAAGGCCCUGCCAAACGGAUAUGAUAGCUAUUGUAGUCAGCAUGCAUAUUAAAGAUUGUUAAAUGCCACAUGUUGAAAUAAGCGUGACUGUUUUAAUGACAGGACUGACAGUCUGUUGGCGUAUCAGAGAUCGGGCGAAUGUUUUCAUCUGCAGUAGCCGGCUACAGACCAGUCUGUGAUUGCAUGAUUUUUUUUUUCAUCCACAGAACCGACUGACUGCUGAUUGGUCUGGGAUCACGCAAUCCCCUGUCUGCAUACGGGAAGUCCUCGAGGGGGGGGGGGUGCUGCUCCAUUAUUAACAACAGGCACAAUAAAUAAAACAACACAGGGAUUUUCAGCGCUCUGAUGUGGUGAAGGAAAACAUCCGGCCUGUCCCCUCCCUACCCAACACACACCUUCAACCUCACUCAGAGGUCACUGAGUCCAAGACAGUGGAAAUGGGCUGGUUGCAGAUACAUAUUUCCCACGAGGCUAUGCAGAAACAGCAUGAAGGACAGCUACAGAAGCUGAACUCAAGUAAUGCAACUUGGAAAAAAAAAAGAUGGAACGAUGCAGAACAAGUCAGCACGAGCAUGAGAUGUCAAAUCCAGGACAGUGCUCAAUGAAC